GCAAGUCGAACGAUGAUCCGGUGCUUGCACCGGGGAUUAGUGGCGAACGGGUGAGUAACACGUGAGUAACCUGCCCUUGACUCUGGGAUAAGCCUGGGAAACUGGGUCUAAUACCGGAUAUGACUUCUCAUCGCAUGGUGGGGGGUGGAAAGCUUUUGUGGUUUUGGAUGGACUCGCGGCCUAUCAGCUUGUUGGUGGGGUAAUGGCCUACCAAGGCGACGACGGGUAGCCGGCCUGAGAGGGUGACCGGCCACACUGGGACUGAGACACGGCCCAGACUCCUACGGGAGGCAAUGGCACCAAAUGGGGCGCAAAGCCUUGAAGGCAAGCGAACGCCCGCGGUGAAGGGAAUGAACGGCCCUUUCGGGGUUUGUAAACCUUCUUUUCAGGUAGGGGAAGGAAGACCUUUUUUUGGGGGGUGGACGGGUACUUUGCAAGAAGAAAGCGCCCGGGCUAACCUACGGUGCCAAGCAGCCGGCGGUAAAUACGUAGGGGCGCAAGGCGUUAUCCGGGAAUUAUUGGGGCGUAAAAGAGCUUCGUAGGCCGGUUUUGUUCGCGUCUUGCUGUGAAAAGACCCGGGGCUCAAACUCCGGGUUCUUGCAGGUGGGUACGGGGCAGACUUAGAGUGCAGUAGGGGAAGACUGGAAUUCCCUGGUGUAGCGGGUGAAAUGCGCAAGAUAUCAGGAGGGAACACCCGAUGGCGAAAGGCAGGUCUCUUGGGCUGUAACUGACGCUGAGGAGCGAAAGCAUGGGGGAGCGAACAGGAUUAGAUACCCUGGUAGUCCAUGCCGUAAACGUUGGGCACUAGGUGUGGGGGACAUUCCACGUUUUCCGCGCCGUAGCUAACGCAUUUAAGUGCCCGCCUGGGGAGUACGGCCGCCAGGCUAAAAACUCAAAGGAAUUGAACGGGGGCCCCGCACAAGCGGCGGACCAUUGCGGAUUAAUUCCAAUGCCAACCGCGAAGAACCUUACCAAGGCUUGACAUGAACCGGAAAGACCUGGAAACAGGUGCCCCGCUUGCGGUCGGUUUACAGGUGGUGCAUGGUUGUCGUCAGCUCGUGUCGUGAGAUGUUGGGUUAAGUCCCGCAACGAGCGCAACCCUCGUUCUAUGUUGCCAGCGGUUCGGCCGGGGACUCAUAGGAGACUGCCGGGGUCAACUCGGAGGAAGGUGGGGACGACGUCAAAUCAUCAUGCCCCUUAUGUCUUGGGCUUCACGCAUGCUACAAUGGCCGGUACAAAGGGUUGCGAUACUGUGAGGUGGAGCUAAUCCCAAAAAGCCGGUCUCAGUUCGGAUUGGGGUCUGCAACUCGACCCCAUGAAGUCGGAGUCGCUAGUAAUCGCAGAUCAGCAACGCUGCGGUGAAUACGUUCCCGGGCCUUGUACACACCGCCCGUCAAGUCACGAAAGUUGGUAACACCCGAAGCCGGUGGCCUAACCCUUGUGGGGGAGCCGUCGAAGGUGGCCCGGCGA
rnacentral:rRNA from 1 species